ACGUAGGUGGCAAGCGUUGUCCGGAAUUACUGGGUGUAAAGGGAGCGUAGGCGGGGAGACAAGUUGAAUGUCUAAACUAUCGGCUUAACUGAUAGUCGCGUUCAAAACUAUCACUCUUGAGUGCAGUAGAGGUAGGUGGAAUUCCUAGUGUAGCGGUGAAAUGCGUAGAUAUUAGGAGGAACACCAGUGGCGAAGGCGGCCUACUGGGCUGUAACUGACGCUGAGGCUCGAAAGCGUGGGUAGCAAACAG
rnacentral:rRNA from 1 species